ACCACUCAGGGGAAGGGGGGAUUUUGAAUGUGUGCUCGCUUUUCACUUUAUCUUUUGAAUUUGCUAUCAUGAGUGCUCUGUGUAUAGGCCUGUAAGUCAUGGGCAUCAAAGGGGCGCUAUCUAUAUUCGGGGUAUUGAAAUCGCUUUUGAAUGCGUGCUCACUUUUCACUUUUGCAUUCGCGAUCACACAUACUCUGUGUAUAGGGGGCGGAGCAAACACUUUCAGUUUAUAAUUGUAGCAUCCAUUGUGCAACUGAACUAAACGGUUUUUAUUUCUAUAAAAAAUCUAAACGACAGUGGGGGCGGAGCCAUGGUGGCCAGGUAAUGUAAUCUGUGUACAGACGAACACUGUGUAACACCGACUACCGCAGCAAGCCUAAUGUCACUGCUACGUAUAUAAGAACUACCUGCAAACCAGUGAGGAAUCUCCAACAAGCAUCUUCUCAACAAAUCCUCUGCGUUCUCUCACUGAAGAUGUUGGCGGCGUUGGCUCUGGUUCUGCUGGUGUUCAGUGUGACUGAGGGACGGAUUCUGAGUAAAUGUGAGCUGAAGGAGCAGCUGGAGGCGGCUCAGAUUCAGCAGAUUAGGGCCAUGGGAGACACAACAACUGUGGACAAACUCAUCGCUAGACUUGUUUGUAAUGUGGAAAACACUUCCGGCUUCAACACCAGCCUCGUCACCAGCGUCCAGAUCAACCAAGAUGAGAUCAGACCCCCGUUCCAAAUUCCUCCCAAACCAAAAGAUGAAAAACCACCAGCAAAGGAAGAAGAUGAUGAGAAAAUGGAAGAUGAACACAUAAUCCCUGUUCAACAACAAAGUCAUCCCAAGGGAAGACGUGGAAGAUCUGUCCUUGAGGGCAAGUCCUUUGAGAUACUGUUCCCGGAAAGUGUCCCCUGCUGACUCGUCUGGAAGCGGUUCGGAGGCGACGUCCGAGGAGGACAGCUCCGGAGACAGCUCGGAGGAGGAGGAACGUGAAGAUGUCAUCGCAUGGAACCUGUUGGGAAUCUUCCAACUGAGCGAUCGCGUGGCUUGUGAUUCCGGAUCGAGCGGAUUGCUAAACCUUUGUGGUUUGGAGUGCAGCGCUCUCAUCAAUGAUGACAUCACUGAUGACAUCGCUUGCUUGAAGACUUUGGCGGGAAGCCACGUCAAGUUCAGUGGCUUCAAUCCCAAGAAGAGAUUCCUUGCUAAGAUGUUGGCAGUGGUGCUGGUGAAGGAGUGUCGCUCUGUCGUUCCUUCUAAGUACUUCGCUGAGUGUUCUUAAAACAUCCCAAUGGAUGAAGAUCCCAUCCGACGGCUGGAACAACCAUCUUCACCGCUGAAGCUGUUUUUCAGUCACAGUUAACAUUUUCACAUGAAAGACCACAUGAACUCAAAAUUGGACCUUUAGUUUAUGUGUCAGCUUUAAGAUCAUUUAUAUGUUAAUGUACUCCUUAACACUGACAAAAUUGAAUAAAAAAAAAAAAAUCAUAUUUUUGUCCAAUAAAAUGCUCUAUAGAAAAUCCCACCCUCUAAAGUAUACAUAAAGGCUUGUUUAUGACAAGAAAUAGCUUUUAGAAAAUCAUGAUUCAUGGCUGUGUCAAACUCAAAGCUUCUGGGGAAAAAAAACAAGCUAACUCUUGGGCUCUGAGUUUUUAACUUCUCCAAAAAUGAAAUUUCUGUCAUUUAUUACUCACCCUCAUGUCGUUCCACAACCGUAAGCCCUUCAUUCAUCUUCAGAACACAAAUUAAGAUAUUUUUGAUGAAAUCCGAUGGCUCAAUGAGCCCUGCAUUGACG